AGCCGCUGAUGACUCUCUUAAACAUUUUUCUGACACCUUCUAUGAGAACUGCACUGCAGUUUUUGAUUAAAUAUUUAAACCUGAGGCUC